UAUAAUGGGUCAGCGACUUAUAUUCUGUAGCAAGGUUAACCGAAUAGGGGAGCCGCAGGGAAACCGAGUCUUAACUGGGCGUCUUAGUUGCAGGGUAUAGACCCGAAACCCGGUGAUCUAGCCAUGGGCAGGUUGAAGGUUGGGUAACACUAACUGGAGGACCGAACCGACUAAUGUUGAAAAAUUAGCGGAUGACUUGUGGCUGGGGGUGAAAGGCCAAUCAAACCGGGAGAUAGCUGGUUCUCCCCGAAAGCUAUUUAGGUAGCGCCUCGUGAAUUCAUCUCCGGGGGUAGAGCACUGUUUCGGCUAGGGGGUCAUCCCGACUUACCAACCCGAUGCAAACUGCGAAUACCGGAGAAUGUUAUCACGGGAGACACACGGCGGGUGCUAACGUUCGUCGUGAAGAGGGAAACAACCCAGACCGCCGGCUAAGGUCCCAAAGUCAUAAUUAAGUGGGAAACGAAGUGGGAAGGCUCAGACAGCCAGGAUGUUGGCUUAGAAGCAGCCAUCAUUUAAAGAAAGCGUAAUAGCUCACUGGUCGAGUCGGCCUGCGCGGAAGAUGUAACGGGGCUAAAUUAUGCACCGAAGCCGCGGCAGCGAUAUGUAAAUAUUGUUGGGUAGGGGAGCGUUCUGUAAGCCUGUGAAGGUGACCUGUGAGGGUUGCUGGAGGUAUCAGAAGUGCGAAUGCUGACAUAAGUAACGAUAAUGCGGGUGAAAAACCCGCACGCCGGAAGACCAAGGGUUCCUGUCCAACGUUAAUCGGGGCAGGGUGAGUCGACCCCUAAGGCGAGGCUGAAAAGCGUAGUCGAUGGGCAACGGGUUAAUAUUCCCGUACUGGUGGUAACUGCGAAGGGGGGACGGAGAAAGCUAAAUCAUCCGGGCGACGGUUGUCCCGGUUUAAGCGUGCAGGUGGACUGACCAGGCAAAUCCGGUCGGUUGUUAACACUGAGGCGUGACGACGAGCCACUACGGUGGUGAAGUGAUUGAUGCUCUGCUUCCGGGAAAAGCCUCUAAGCUCCAGGUUACCAUUAAUCGUACCCCAAACCGACACAGGUGGUCAGGUAGAGAAUACUCAGGCGCUUGAGAGAACUCGGGUGAAGGAACUAGGCAAAAUGGUGCCGUAACUUCGGGAGAAGGCACGCUGGCAUUAGGUGAAGUGGUUUACCCAUGGAGCUGAAGCCAGCCGCAGAUACCAGCUGGCUGCAACUGUUUAUUAAAAACACAGCACUGUGCAAACACGAAAGUGGACGUAUACGGUGUGACGCCUGCCCGGUGCCGGAAGGUUAAUUGAUGAGGUUAGCGCAAGCGAAGCUUCUGAUCGAAGCCCCGGUAAACGGCGGCCGUAACUAUAACGGUCCUAAGGUAGCGAAAUUCCUUGUCGGGUAAGUUCCGACCUGCACGAAUGGCGUAAUGAUGGCCAGGCUGUCUCCACCCGAGACUCAGUGAAAUUGAACUCGCUGUGAAGAUGCAGUGUACCCGCGGCAAGACGGAAAGACCCCGUGAACCUUUACUAUAGCUUGACACUGAACAUUGAGCCUUGAUGUGUAG
rnacentral:rRNA from 1 species